rnacentral:lncRNA from 1 species
AAGGAGGCUUGGAACCAAUUCAAGAGUUGAAGACCAGUUGAUCGAUUGACGUGCAUGUGCUUGUAAUACGACCUAACUAGAAUCCAUGAUCAUCACCUAUUUAAAAUUUAGCUUUAAUUAUUGCUGCGAUUAUAACUGCCUGCAAUGUGCCGUUUGCAUGUGAUGUGAAUGUGUCGGGUAGAUAGGUUUACAUGUGAUGUAGCAAACCCAAUUGAGACCUAAAUCAAAACCUCCUCAAUCAAGUCGAGAGUGAACCGACAUGAGCAAGUCAUAUUAGAUUAAUUGAUCUAAUUGGUGUCUAGGAAAGCAUGAAAGGUGGUUACUUAAUUAGGACCUUACUCUCUGAGUAA